rnacentral:rRNA from 1 species
AACGAACGCUGGCGGCAUGCCUAACACAUGCAAGUCGAACGAGACCUUCGGGUCUAGUGGCGCACGGGUGCGUAACGCGUGGGAACCUGCCCUUAGGUUCGGAAUAACUCCCCGAAAGGGGUGCUAAUACCGGAUAAUGUCUUCGGACCAAAGAUUUAUCGGCUUUGGAUGGGCCCGCGUUGGAUUAGCUAGUUGGUAGGGUAAAAGCCUACCAAGGCGACGAUCCAUAGCUGGUCUGAGAGGAUGAUCAGCCACACUGGGACUGAGACACGGCCCAGACUCCUGCGGGAGGCAGCAGUGGGGAAUAUUGGACCAUGGGCGAAAGCCUGAUCCAGCAAUGCCGCGUAGGUGAUGAAGGCCUUAGGGUUGUAAAGCUCUUUUGCCCGGGAGGAUAAUGACAGUACCGGGAGAAUAAGCUCCGGCUAACUCCGUG